rnacentral:ncRNA from 2 species
CUCUUAUCCAGAGUGGUGGAGGGACUGGCCCGAUGAAACCCGGCAACCGCCCUGGGCGAAGGUAAACCGCUAGGCCGCCAGCGGUAUAUACCUUGGCCAAGGGAACGGUGCCAAUUCCUGCAGAAGUUUAUCUUCUGACAGAUAAGAG